rnacentral:rRNA from 1 species
CGGCUAACUCCGUGCCAGCAGCCGCGGUAUACGGGGGAUGCAGCGUUAUCCGGAAUCAUUGGGCGUAAAGCGCCUGUAGGUUGUUUAAUAAGUCUGUUGUUAAAGACUAGGGCUCAACCCUAGGAAAGCAAUGGAAACUACUAGACUUGAGUAUGAUAGGGGUAGAGGGAAUUUCUAGUGUAGCGGUGAAAUGCGUAGAUAUUAGGAAGAACACCGGUGGCGAAGGCGCUCUACUGGAUCAUUACUGACACUCAGAGGCGAAAGCUAGGGUAGCAAAAGGGAUUAGAUACCCCUGUAGUCCUAGCCGUAAACGAUGGAUACCAGAUGUUGCGUUUAUUAUGCAGUAUCGUAGCUAACGCGUUAAGUAUCCCGCCUGGGGAGUACGCUCGCAAGGGUGAAACUCAAAGGAAUUGACGGGGGCCCGCACAAGCGGUGGAGCAUGUGGUUUAAUUCGAUGCAACGCGAAGAACCUUACCAGGGCUUGACAUACUACAGAUCUUUUUGAGAAAGAAGAGUGCCUUCGGGAAUGUAGAUACAGGUGGUGCAUGGCUGUCGUCAGCUCGUGUCGUGAGAUGUUGGGUUAAGUCCCGCAACGAGCGCAACCCUCGUUUUUAGUUGCCAAUUUAUUGGGAUCUCUAGAAAGACUGCCGGUGACAAACCGGAGGAAGGUGAGGAUGACGUCAAGUCAGCAUGCCCCUUAUGUCCUGGGCCACACCAUCGUGCUACAAUGGUAAAGACAAAGAGUCGCCAAUUCGCGAGAAUGAGCUAAUCUCAUAAACUUUAWCUMAGUUCGGAUUGUAGGCUGCAACUCCCC